rnacentral:rRNA from 1 species
CCUACGGGAGGCUGCAGUGGGGAAUAUUGCACAAUGGGGGAAACCCUGAUGCAGCGACGCCGCGUGAGUGAAGAAGUAUUUCGGUAUGUAAAGCUCUAUCAGCAGGGAAGAAAAUGACGGUACCCGAUUAAGAAGCCCCGGCUAACUACGUGACAGCAGCCGCGGUAAUACGGAGGGGGCAAGCGUUAUCCGGAUUUAAUGGGUGUAAAGGGAGCGUAGACGGUAUCGCAAGUCUGAAGUGAAAUGCCUGGGCUUAACCCCGGAGCUGCUUUGGAAACUGGGAGGCUAGAGUGCAGGAGAGGUAAGUGGAAUUCGUAGUGUAGCGGUGAAAUGCGUAGAUAUUAGGAGGAACACCAGUGGCGAAGGCGGCUUACUGGACUGUAACUGACGUUGAGGCUCGAAAGCGUGGGGAGCAAACAGGAUUAGAUACCCGGGUAGUC